rnacentral:rRNA from 1 species
AGAGAGAGACAUGCGCGCAUAUCAAUAAGCGGAGGAAAAGAAACUAACAAGGAUUCCCCUAGUAACGGCGAGUGAAGCGGGAAGAGCUCAAAUUUGAAAUCUUAAAGGGUUUCCCUUUACGAAUUGUAGUUUGAAGAAGUGUUUUCUGUUGAGGUUUUGGUAAAAGUUCUUUGGAAUAGGACAUCAUAGAGGGUGAGAAUCCCGUAUUUGACCUUUACUUUCAACUUUGUGAUACACUUUCAAAGAGUCGGAUUGUUUGAGAAUGCAGUCCAAAAUGGGUGGUAAAUUUCAUCUAAAGCUAAAUAUUGGCGAGAGACCGAUAGCGAACAAGUACCGUGAGGGAAAGAUGAAAAGAACUUUGAAAAGAGAGUUAAACAGUACGUGAAAUUGUCAAAAGGGAAGCGUUUGACACCAGUGUUGUUUUUCUGAAAAUCAAUUAAAGAACUGUUUAUGCUAAGUUGUUUAGACUUUAUCAGCUAUCUGUUUAGUUUUGAGCUUUUCUUUAAUGCACUUUUCAGUUAACAAGUCAACAUCAAUUUCUUUUGCUGUAAAAAAGCUUGAGGAAGGUGGCUUGAGAUUCGUCUUAAGUGUUUAUAGCCUCUUGCCUAUGCAGUCGGAGAGAUUGAGGUCUGCAGCGUAGAUCCUUCGGGGCUAAAUGCAUUUGUGCUAAGUUAUAGCAUUUUAUAGACAACUUGUUGACUAUGAUUUGUCUUGUAGCUUACUCGCUUAUGUUAUUUUACCUACGCUUAGGAUGUUGACGCAUGAGAUAUACGCA